rnacentral:ncRNA from 1 species
CAACUUGAGAGUUUGAUCCUGGCUCAGAACGAACGCUGGCGGCAGGCUUAACACAUGCAAGUCGAACGCCCCGCAAGGGGAGUGGCAGACGGGUGAGUAACGCGUGGGAAUCUACCCAUCUCUGCGGAAUAGCUCUGGGAAACUGGAAUUAAUACCGCAUACGCCCUACGGGGGAAAGAUUUAUCGGGGAUGGAUGAGCCCGCGUUGGAUUAGCUAGUUGGUGGGGUAAAGGCCUAC